GGACCCGCACAAGCGGUGGAGCAUGUGGUUUAAUUCGAUGCAACGCGAAGAACCUUACCUGGUCUUGACAUCCUGCGAACUUUCUAGAAAUAGAUUGGUGCCUUCGGGAACGCAGUGACAGGUGCUGCAUGGCUGUCGUCAGCUCGUGUCGUGAGAUGUUGGGUUAAGUCCCGUAACGAGCGCAACCCCUAUCCUUAUUUGCCAGCACAUUAUGGUGGGAACUAUAAGGAGACUGCCGGUGAUAAACCGGAGGAAGGCGGGGACGACGUCAAGUCAUCAUGGCCCUUACGACCAGGGCUACACACGUGCUACAAUGGGAUGGACAAAGAGUCGCGAAGCCGCGAGGUGUAGCUAAUCUCAUAAACCUUGUCUCAGUUCGGAUAGGAGUCUGCAACUCGACUCCUUGAAGUUGGAGUCGCUAGUAA
rnacentral:rRNA from 1 species